GGGUGGUAACCUUUGUUAUCUCCAUUUACAAUCCAGAGAGCCUACGCUAAGCAGGAUUAGGGAGCUCAUCCAAAGUCCACCAGAAGUGAAAUCCAAAUCCUCUAAAGGUCAAACAUGAGUGAAAGCCUUGGCUGAAGAUCCACCCGCGGCAUCAGUAGCAAUAGAGGCUCAAGAGGAAACAAAACCAGAGGUGGAGUAGUGAGACGGCGAGGGACCUGGGCUCUUGUUUGCCGAAAUGCAGCCAAGCAAGGCCGCUGCGCUGUUUAUUGCUUUUACUCGUUGUGUUAAACAUUUACAGACUUAUUAAACGGAAGAAUCGUAAGUGUGA